AGAUGCAGUACUAUGGGGGGUUUGAAGGUGGCAAAUCUAGAAGCACCCCCUGCAUGGACAAAGCACAUUGCACAAGAUGUCUUCAGUGACACCCCAGAUGGGUUCCAUUUGGAGUUAAAUCCUGGCUUUACUGUGCUGGAAGACUGGUGUGGAUAUCCAAAGUCACCCUUCUGUUGUAACUUUCAUAAUUUAUCUCCCUCCAC